ACAGGCACCACCCCCAGCUCAGGUCCUGUAGGCAGAAGGCAGGAGGCUGAUUCUACUCUUGGAAAGCACGUGGCCCCAGCCCCUAGGAUUAGAUCUUUCAAUUUCCUGCUCACAAUGAUUGGUUCUGGAAUAGGCAUGUGACCCAAUCUGGCCAAUGGGAUUCAAUCCCGGGACACUUACAGGAACUGGGGAAACGUCAGGGGACAGAGUCGCAUUAGAAUGGAAGAAAUGACGGGACUUCCUGAUGGCUGGUCCCAGUUCCCUCACUCCUGGAGAUACCUUUAACAAUUCCAAUGCUGGCCAGGCGCAGGGGCUCACACCUGUAAUCCCAGUACUUUGGGAGGCUGAGGUGGGUGGAUCACGAGGUCAGGAGUUUGAGAGCAGCCUGACCAACAUGGUGAAACCCCAUCUCUACAAAAAUACAAAAAUUAACCAAGAGUGGUGGUGGGCGCCUGUCGUCCCAGCUACUGGGGAGGCUGAGGCAGGAGAAUCGUUGAACCUGGGAGGUGAAAGCUGUAGUCAGUUGAGAUUGCGCCACUGCACUCCAGCCCGGCAACAGAGUGAGACUCCAUUUCAAAAAAAAAAUUCCAGUGCCAUCAGAGGCAAUGAUGUUGGGUCCCCACAUUGUCCAGGAAGGCAAUGGUCCUGAGAAAUUCUCAACCUCUCUUGGGGAGGUGGGGCAGGGCUCUGCAGGGACAACGCUUAGGUAGCCCACCCCACUCCUGUUGCUUGAUAUUGUCAUAAGUCAAUCAUCAAUUACUCAACAAAAGUGUAGAGGAAGAUUGGGCUCAGGAUCAGGAAGCCACGGGCAGGCCGUAUGUUCCUCUCAGCCUCAGUUUCCCUGUCAGUGAGACGAGAAGCUUCGACAAGAUGAACUUAAACGCAGCCCCAUCAUCUUUUAUACGUAUGAGUCUUUUUUCUGUUUUAGACACUUGGAAUAAAAAGGAAUCUUAACCCUACAAUCUCUUUGGGAAUAGAAGACAUUCUAUAAAUAAUGCUGUCUUGAAGGUGAAGUCUGCAAUAGAGGAGAAUUGGCCAGGGUGGUCUACAAGCGCCUUCCUGGCUCUGAAAAUCUGAGAAGGAAAAAAAAGACAGAAAUUCAGCGCCCAGUGCCUGGGGCUAAAGCCCAAAUGCUUUUCUACAAGAGGUUUUGGGUCUGGAGGAGUCUCCCAGAUGCCCCUGCCCUUCCAUGUUGGUUUGGCAAAGUGUGGAACUAAGACCCAGAGUCUGCAGAGACCUGAGUGGGCUCGGCGUGGCCAUGUGUGUGUGCAGAAGAAAGGCCACUGGAUCAAUGGGCUGGAUUACAGACGCUGCUGCCAUGGGCUGAUAAUUGCGGUGAAGCACCAGUUGCUCAGACCAAAUGUCCUUCCCCUGCACUGUGGGAGAGUGCCAAUCACAGGGGAUUAAAACCAGCUGGGGCACGGCCCUGCGGAGAAAGACUUGAGGCUAGGCUGGCAGCCAAGAAAUGGGGUUUGGGAUGGUGAAGUGGGAGGAGGGGAGCAUACAUGGCUGCCCGUGGUAGGCUGAGGCUGGGACCAGGGCAGGGGGAGGCUGAGACAGAGGGGAUGGAGGGCACCAGCAAAAACCAGGUGGGUGAGCUGGGAAGCGGGAAAGAACUGCAGGCUCAGGGCGGGGCUGGCUUAUUGGGGGAGCCCAGAGCCGAGUGAGGAGCCAGACUCCAGAUCUUGCUGACCCAGCAGUCUCUCCACUCCUGGUACCCAAAACAGAAGCUGGAAGAAUUUUAAAAGCCACAAAGGCCUCUGUUUAGAGUUCAGGUGCUUUGUGGAACACAGCUGCCCAGAACAUGUCCCUCCAUGGGGGCAGCCUCACUCAUCAGCUUUGGAAUUCUGAACUGCAGUCAGCCCUGGGGCUCCCAGGGGUGCCCUCACACCCUCUCUCUCACCUGACCUUCAUUCAAGCCUGAAAGGUGGGGAUGUUACGGUUAGAAUCUCGCAGGGGGAGGACACUGAGGUCUGGAAAGAAGUGACUUUCCCAAAGUCCCACUGCUGGCCAGAGGCACUUCCAUCAGCUUCCGUUUCCUCGUGUGGGAAACAGAUGUGCUAAUAUCCACUUCAAAGAAGUAGUAAUAACACAUUUACUACAUGUCAGGCACUGUGUUAGGGCUUUAACAUGCACUAAGUUGUGGGGUCAUUUCCAAAAUGUUGUAAGGCUGGUAAUAUUGCCCCAUUCUGCAGAUGUGUAAACUGUGGCUCCAAGAGGUGAAAUAACUCAUUCAAGGUCACUGUAUAAGUGGCCAGGCCAGGAUCAAAACCCUGGUGGCUCUGGCUUUGGAGCUUGUGAAAAUCAAAUGUGAAGGGGCUCUGUAAAGUGCUUUGUGGGUGGUAAUUAUCAGGAAGAGGGCAGGGGCAGGGGCAGGGGCACUGUGGGCGCAGGGAGAGGAGGAUAAGCAGGAUCUCAGUCCCUCCCAGUUCAGCUAAGAGAGGCCAGAGGUGAACUGGGUCCUGCUGAAGGUGGACUGGGCACCCAUUUGGGUGAAGUGGGGGCUGUGGUGUCUGUUGGCUGGGGGAGCAUGGCUUUGAGCCUCCCCCAUCCCUGCUAAUGGCCUUCAGAGGAAAUCAUCUGCACGAGAUCAAAGCUGGCCUGGAGUGAGCCCCUCUCUGGAUAAUGAAGAUGAAUUCUGGCCAGGUCUGCCCAGAAAGAAUGUUAACUAAAUGAAGAUGACAGUGCAGUGACUGUGGAGUUUGUAUCAGGGCCAAAUUGAACUCUCUCUUCCAGCAAGUCUAUGCAAAGCCUGGGCCAGUGCCCAAGAGAGGGGAAAACACACACAUGCAUUCUCCUCUCCUUGCCCCCUCCUUGAAGUCCCCUGCCACUGGCAGCCACCCAAGAGAGGUGCUGGUCCCAUGCUGAUUCCUGUGUGGGGGGCUCCAUGCGGCCCACUCUUGCUUGGUUUAUUGAAACUCAUGCUGGGCCCCUUGUCAGCCUAGAGGCAGGAAGGAAGGAGGGGGACCGGCUGGAGAAAGCUCAAAUGGGAGGGACUUGAUGCAAGGAGGUCCACUACCUCUCCUAUCUUUACCCUGAGGACAAGGGUAGCACAAUAGAGUCAGACCUGGGUUCAAAUCCUAGUGCAAGGUUCUUUAAACUGACUGAACCAUGGACUACACCAUAGUCAAGCCAUGGUGACCCCUGUGACCCACAUGUACACCUCCAGAUGGUCUCCUGGAGCCAGAAAGUGUAAGAUAACAGAAAAACAGCAAAAGGAGAAGAACAGCUUGCUCCUGCAGUGUCUGAUUAACCGACCCUAUGACAUUCCACCAUUGUUCCUGCCUCAACUGAUAAGUCAACCUUGUGGCACUGAACCCUGUGGCCUGAUUAAUUGACCUUGUGACAUUCUACCACUGUUCCUGCCUCAACUGAUCAGUCAAACUUGUGACACCGGACCCUGUGACACCACACCCCCAGCCUGCAAAAAAAAACACCCUAAACUGUAACUUUCCAUUACCUAUGCCCAGCCUAUAAAACCAGCUCCUAUCCUACCACCCUCUGCUGACUCUCUUUUUGGACUCAGCAUGCUUGCACCCAAAUGAAUAAAAAAACCUUGCUGCUCACACAAAGCCUGUUUAAGUGGUCUCUUCAGUGUGUGCUUAAAAGUCAACUGACCUUGAGCUAAAACCUAAAAAUCUCCAGGCCUCAAUUUUUAAAUCUAUAAUUGGAAAUGAUGAUGAAACCUGCCACCCAGAUCCACUCCUGUUAGUGUUUUGAGUCCUUAGGAAUGGACCAUACCUCCUUUUCCUGCAGGCCUCUCAGGGCAUUCCCCUGUCUCUUAGUUUGUUCAGGCUCCCCGAAGACUGAGUUUGGGUUUGCAGACUCACACUUUUGUGAACUUCUAACCCAGAUCCAAGCUUCCCAAGCUCUGGGGCCCAGCAUCUCUAAACCCCACAAUGAUGGGGAAUUUCUGGCCCACCUAUAUCCUGAAGAUGACAAUUAACAAGGCCUCCCAACUGUACAGCAUUGAAAACUUAAAAGGAGAGAAGGGCAGGGGAGUCAGGAGAGAAAGGGCUGACCAGCAUCAGUGAGAACCUUCUGGACUAGGGGUUCCUCACCUGGGUGACACAUUAGACUUACCUGGGGAACUUUAAAAACCUCAAUGCCUGCUAUAACAGACUACCUGAGACUGGGGGGAAAAAAAAUCUCAAUGCCAAAGCCCCACUCCAGAAUGUGAUUCAGAUCUCCAGAGAUGGAGCCUGACAGGGGAAUCCCCCUGCCAGGUCCCCCGCACCCUCGCCCCGCUUCCCCAAAGCUCCCCAGGUGAUUCUAAUGUGCAGCCAGUAAUGCAGAAGCUGUGUAGAGAAAAGGCUUUCCGAACUUUAAUGUGCGUGAGAACCACCUGGGAGGUCUUGUUAAAAUGAAAAUUCUGAUUCAGGGGUUCUGGGGAGAGGCCUGACACUGUGUAUUGCUAACCAGCUCAAGGUGGUGCUGAUGCUGCAGGUCAGGGGACCACACUUUGAGUAGCACUGCUUGAUGACGGGACCACGGCUUUAUCAUCUUUGUUCACUGCCAGCUCUGAGGCUUCUCAGGAAACGCUCCUGGAAUGAAUGCACAUGUAACUGAGACAGCGCAGGAUGUGGAGCCUGAUGACCGGUAUUUGAAGCCUAGCAUUAUUGCUCUAGCUAUGUGGAUUUAGGCAACGUACUUAUCAGCUGCGGCCUCAGGAUCUGCUUCUGUAAAACAGGUAUGCUUUUACUGCCUCAAGAGCCUUAUAGAAUC